GCCCGCGUGGUGGAAUGGUAGACACUGGGGACUUAAAAUCCCUUGCCUUUACGGCGUACCGGUUCGAGUCCGGUCGCGGGUACCA
rnacentral:tRNA from 1 species